CGGAGUGUAGCGUAGCCCGGUAGCGUACUAGCAUGGGGUGCUAGGGGUCGCAGGUUCAAAUCCUGUCACUCCGA
rnacentral:tRNA from 1 species